CUGGAUAAACUCUUUUUUUUAAUGGGUUAUGAUUACUACUUAUGGCCUGCAUUUUCAUCCUAUUCUCUUUAUUUAACCAACAUUUGCUGGCAUUUUUUUUUUAUGCCCAAGAAAACACAUUUGCCCAUCUCUGUCAGGCCUCCAGACCCUCAGGGAUGUGCAUCUAAUGCACCUUCAGCUACCAGUGUAAACAGUAAACGGGCCAGAUGCUAUCUGUGCAUCUUCCCUGGCCUUGGGAGAGCCAUUGGAAUCUCUGCAGCCUUUAAGAGCAUCUUGCUUCAGGUUUGCUGAUGUGCUUGCUUCUGUAAGAUCAUGUAGACUUCCCAAGCAAUAUCUAGCAUUUCAUUGUCUCUUUUCUGUCUUGCAGGAAGAAGGGGCUAUAGACCCACCUCUUGUUAUGGAAAUACUUAUGUGCCCAGCAAUAGAAGGCACUCCAUAAGCUCUGCUGAAUAUACACAAGCGUCCUUUUCCAUUUACAAGUGGAGAUCACCAUUCAACAUAUGGCAAUCCAGAAGGCUUCAUCACACACCACAGACC